GGGGUUGUGGCUCAGUGGUAGAGUGCUUGCCUAGCAUAUAUGGGGCACUGGGUUCGAUCCUCAGCACCACA
rnacentral:tRNA from 1 species